ACUUCCACCCUUCCACCAUUUGUGCUAUAUAGAGGCCUGGGGGUUCGGUUAUAUCGGUUUAAUCGGGUUUUCGGUUUUUUCGGAUUUUUAAAAUUUUGCCGAAUUGGAUCGAACAAAAAUUAUUCGGUUCGGUUCUCGGUUUUUUCGGUUCGGUUAUGGACUAAAAAUUGUGUUCCAAAUUGAACUGAAUAAUUGUUAUUUUUCGGUUUAUUAGGUUAACCGAAAAUAAUUUUCAUAUUAUAGCUAUACAUAACAAACAAUCCAAGACAAUUUACAAGCCACCAUCAUUGUCGGAGCUCUACCAUCAUCGUCAACGCACAACCACCAUCGCAUAAUCUUCUCGUCGAAAAAAAUAAAAUAAAAGAAAUAAAUAAAUCGCUGACAUAAAAGAAAAAUAAUUCAAAUGAGAAGAUCAAGUGAUCGAGGAAGAAGCAUUCACCUAAGACCUGGAGUAAAUAAAUCAAGAGUGUAUACAAUGAUAUAGAGAGAAGCCACUAGAUCCAAAAUUCUUAAGAAAAGAGGUGGAAGAAGAAGAAAAAACA
rnacentral:lncRNA from 1 species